AGCUAUUGUUAGUGUUAGUGUAUUUUUUGUGUGGCCCAAGACAAUCUUCUUCCAGUGUGGCCCAGGGAAGCCAAAAAAUUGGACACACUUGAUGUAAACAUUUCAAGAAAAUUCAGACUAUAUGAUCACUCAAGACAGCCGAUUCACCAGCCUUCUGAAGGGAAGACUAAGCAUAUUCCUAUAUUGAAGAAGGAAAGAUAUCCAUGAUGGUGAUGCCACUAAAUAGAAGCAUCUUGGAUCUUACUAUUUGGAGUAGAACCACACAAGGAGAAGCCAUCCAACCUACAUAAGACUAUGACUGGCUUCUGACAAAAUCUAAACUGCACACUGUGGACUCGAGUCGAUAAACAACAGAGAGACUAAGACUGCAUGAAGUUAGGAGAUGGACCAUCAUGAAGGAAUAUCCUCUGUGUGUCGGGGGAUGUGGGGAGUUAGCCAUAUCUUUGGUUCAUGUUAGGUUUAAUGGUUAACAAAUUAAAAUGCUAAAGAAUGUUAUGAGUGAACCUCUUUUCCCUUUUGUUUUCUGAUUUUCUGCAAAACUUCUGUUCACAUAGCAAUCCUGGUUUUGUGCCCCAUCUUCUCCUUGCCCCAUGAAAGAGAAUGGAGUUAUCUGAUUGGCAGAUGCCAUCCGUGGUCCGUAUUUCUCAACUGAGUAGAAACUGACUCACUAAAAGGCAGCAAGCCCCAGAUCAAUAAGAGGCAGAAAUCUUAUUCUCUAGUGAUACUGCAGGAUCCUCUAAUGAGAUCCUGUAGGCAAGCUGGCCCAAGGUCUAGACUUAGACUUCAUUAACAUAUCUAAAGUCAUGUUAUCCAAUCGGCUUUAUUAGUACUAAAGCUGACAUUUCUAUCUUUAUCUAGGUCUGAUUUCUCAAAUGUAUCUGAACAUGAGAGGAGAGGAAAAAAGAUAUUAUUUACUGAUUCCUUCUUAUGCAUCCUGCAUUCUCACCCUAACCUGGAGUGGCCGACACCAGAACUCUCUCCCUUUAUGACAAGCAAAUGCCCCGUUUACAAGUAGACAACCUUAAUUUACAUUGUUUUUCUCUUGGAGACAGGGUCUCACCCUGUUGCCCAGGCUCAAGU
rnacentral:lncRNA from 1 species